rnacentral:rRNA from 1 species
ACGGCUCAGUAACACGUCGGUAACCUACCCUCGGGAGGGGGAUAACCCCGGGAAACUGGGGCUAAUUCCCCAUAGGCCUGAGGUACUGGAAGGUCCUCAGGCCGAAAGGGACUUAUGUCCGCCCGAGGAUGGGCCGGCGGCCGAUUAGGUAGUUGGUGGGGUAAUGGCCCACCAAGCCGAAGAUCGGUACGGGCUGUGAGAGCAGGAGCCCGGAGAUGGACACUGAGACACGGGUCCAGGCCCUACGGGGCGCAGCAGGCGCGAAACCUCCGCAAUGCGGGAAACCGCGACGGGGGGACCCCGAGUGCCGUGGCAACGCCACGGCUUUUCCGGAGUGUAAAAAGCUCCGGGAAUAAGGGCUGGGCAAGGCCGGUGGCAGCCGCCGCGGUAAUACCGGCGGCCCGAGUGGUGGCCGCUAUUAUUGGGCCCAAAGCGUCCGUAGCCGGGCCCGUAAGUCCCUGGCGAAAUCCCACGGCUCAACCGUGGGGCUUGCUGGGGAUACUGCGGGUCUUGGGACCGGGAGAGGCGGGGGGUACCCCUGGGGUAGGGGUGAAAUCCUAUAAUCCCAGGGGGACCGCCAGUGGCGAAGGCGCCCCGCUGGAACGGGUCCGACGGUGAGGGACGAAGGCCAGGGGAGCAAACCGGAUUAGAUACCCGGGUAGUCCUGGCUGUAAAGGAUGCGGGCUAGGUGUCGGGUGAGCCUCGAGCUCGCCCGGUGCCGUAGGGAAGCCGUUAAGCCCGCCGCCUGGGGAGUACGGCCGCAAGGCUGAAACUUAAAGGAAUUGGCGGGGGAG